rnacentral:RNase_P_RNA from 1 species
ACCGCAGACCGCCUUAUCGACUCGUUUUAGGACGAGUAGGAAAGUCCGGACACCACAGAGUAGCAUAGCGGGUAACGCCCGUCGGUUCGUUUCGGCGAAUUAGGACAAGUGCAACAGAAAGUAUGUACAGGUAAUGCUGUAGUGAAACCAGGUAAACUCUAUGCGGUGAAAUUUCAAGUAUAUCGGCAUUUAAGGAUUACUCGUCCGUUGCCGAAGGGUAGAAAGAUGGAUUCCGAGAGUAAUUUCGGAACUAGAUAAAUGAUAAGGCUUCAAUUUAUUGAUGACAGAAUCCGGCUUAUAGGUCUGCUUUUUUU